UGUAGCUCAACCCAGGCCAGCUCCGAUGCCUUACUGAAGGUUUCCCAGGAUGUGUUCAUGAGUCCUGGUCCAGACCACCUGACCUGUGCCUGGUAAAUACAGGACAUCACCUGCUCAUCCUUCAGCAUGAAAAUGGAGAGAGUAAGGCAAAUUGGAGCAAGGUCUUACCAAUCACCAAAGUCUCCCUGCAACAGAAAAGAAACAUUGCAGAAAAUCACAACCGAUCAAAAGCAAAGAACAAAUGACCUGACCAUGUGGUGCCCAGCCCCAACUGAUGUAUUUCUAAAACAACUCCUGCACCUAAAACUAAAAAGAUCGGAGUGGAGGAGAGGGGGGGCUGAAGAACUAUAAGAAAGAA